UUAUGAUUAUGUGAUAGGUGGUGCAUGGCCGUCCUUAAUUCGUGGAGGAUUUGUCUGCUUAAUUGCGCAUUGCAAAUUGUAAUUGAUCUUUUACCAGUCUCGUUCUGAUUUAUGUUGCGAAUAUUGUAGAAUAUUGUUGUCGUCGAGUCAUUAUUGCCACUACGUCUGGUCCUUUGGGCAGAAUAGUGUUGUAUAUUUUGUCUUGUCAACACAAAAUUCUUCACAAUAUUGUAGCCGUACUUGAUUGUAUGCGCUAUUCAUGUAUAUGUGGUUAGUCAACACCAGUUCGGCUGCUUGCACACAUCGCCAUCUCAACAUGAUCAGUCAGGCUGCUAGAGACCUUGUGUCUUGCCCCAAAGGUUGAUUAACACCGUGAGUGCAACGAGUGAGAUUGCAAGCCUUUGUUAUGUAGUGAACAACAUAUACCUACUACUACUACUUUGUAGUAAUGUAGGAUUCCAACUACACACAAAUAACCAUUAAGGUGAAAUGAACUCAGGCGACUGCUAUACUUUAAGAUGGGGAAGGUUGUGGCAAUAACAGG
rnacentral:rRNA from 1 species